GACGAACGCUGGCGGCGUGCUUAACACAUGCAAGUCGAACGAUGAAGCCGGAGCUUGCUCUGGUGAAUUAGUGGCGAACGGGUGAGUAACACGUGAGUAACCUGCCCUUGACUCUGGGAUAACUGCGGGAAACUGUAGCUAAUACCGGAUACGACCCUCGGAGGCAUCUCCUGGGGGUGGAAAGAAUUUCGGUGAAGGAUGGACUCGCGGCCUAUCAGCUAGUUGGUGAGGUAAAGGCUCACCAAGGCGACGACGGGUAGCCGGCCUGAGAGGGUGACCGGCCACACUGGGACUGAGGCACGGCCCAGGCUCCUACGGGAGGCAGCAGUGGGGAAUAUUGCACAAUGGGCGCAAGCCUGAUGCAGCAACGCCGCGUGAGGGAUGACGGCCUUCGGGUUGUAAACCUCUUUUAGCAGGGAAGAAGCGAAAGUGACGGUACCUGCAGAAAAAGCACCGGCUAACUACGUGCCAGCCGCCGCGGUAA
rnacentral:rRNA from 1 species